UACGGAGGGGACUAGCGUUGUUCGGAAUUACUGGGCGUAAAGCGCACGUAGGCGGAUCAGCAAGUUGGGGGUGAAAUCCCGGGGCUCAACCCCGGAACUGCCUCCAAAACUGUUGGUCUUGAGUUCGAGAGAGGUGAGUGGAAUUCCGAGUGUAGAGGUGAAAUUCGUAGAUAUUCGGAGGAACACCAGUGGCGAAGGCGGCUCACUGGCUCGAUACUGACGCUGAGGUGCGAAAGUGUGGGGAGCAAACAGG
rnacentral:rRNA from 1 species